UUAUUAUUUUGGUCCCAGUGUAUCCUGAGGGUGGUCUGACAACUUGUCAGACCUAUGUGAAGUCUCAUCCUAGGAGAAAACUUCCUCCUGGGUCUGCAGCAAGCUUCAGUCUCCCUUCCUCCCAGCACUGGAUUCCCAUGGACACUAAAUCAGUGAUUCUCAACCCUCCUAACUCUGCAACCCUCUGAUACAGUUCCUCAUGCUAUGGUGACCCCCCAUCAAGUUAUUUUAUUUCCUACUUAAUAACUGUAAUUUUGCUACUGUUAUGAAUUAUAACGUACACACCUAUGUUUUCUUUCAGAUGGUGUUAGGCAACCCCAAUGAAAAUGUUGUUUAACCACCGAAGGAGUGGUGACCCACAGCACCUCUGAGCUUUUCAUCAUUGCUAAGUCUCUCCUGGACCAAACGUCCCAUAAAGUUCACCUUCCUGGGAGUAAAGAUCAAUGCAGGAAGAAGAACAUCCAUUGGUUGUCUUUGAUGGAUCUAUGAUUGACUCCAAAGUCAGACAAAAAGUCUGGGGUAUUCUAUGGACACGUAAAGGAGACCACAUCUGACGAGAGACCAAAGCCUUCUCUCAGAGCAUCUUCCCAACCUAUUUCUAGCUUUCAUAUGACACGAAAUAAAAUGAAAGCAAUAAUUUAUCUGCCUUGUUUUUAAAAUAAAGCUGCCA